CAGCCGUAAACAAUGUGCGUUAGGUGUGUCGGUAACCACGCGUUACUGAUGCGCCGAAGAGAAAUCGUGAAACGCACCACCUGGGAAGUACGGUCGCAAGGCUGAAACUUAAAGGAAUUGGCGGGGGGAGCACCACAACAGGUGGAGCCUGCGGUUUAAUUGGAUUCAACACCGUAAAACUCACCAGGGAAGACUGUUACAUGAAGGCCGAGAUGAAGACUCUGCUAGAUUUUCAGAGAGGUGGUGCAUGGCGUCAGUGACU
rnacentral:rRNA from 1 species